AAAUUUAGUCCAUUUCAACAAGAAAAGCAACAUCGUCACACAUUCAAGUUGUAAAACUUCGAAACAUAAGAUGAUCUCCAGCAAAUCCAAAAAAUGAUACAGAAUGAUCUGUUUGAGAAAGCAACGAAAUUCUGGAUUUGGAAUGUACUGACUCGUCAUCAGUCAGUUGUUGUACCGAAAUGCGUUCUACAUCGAGUAACUCGGAUGAGACAUCCGAGCGUUCGUCGUUGUGAUCCAAGGAAUUCUUAUGAAGAUUGAAUUUGUGACAUACUUCAAAGGCCUGACCGACGCCGACAAACUGCAAUACAAAGAGCAGAACAAAAGGUGUGAUAAUGAAUUAUUUAUGAACAAAAAAGGAGCAAAAUUCAGCAAUGCAAAAACACACAUACAUAAAUGAUGAAGAAAGAGAACGUUGGAUAUAAGGAAAAGGUACAAUUGUAUAAAAAGGCAAAGUGGACAGCUGAAAUGGAGAGAGAGAGAGAGGGCUUGAAACAAAGUAAACUUUAUAUGUUACCGCUGAGUGAUACAGAAGCGCAAUAAUUGAAAACUCAAUUAAUAAAAGGGUUUCGCAAUGGAAAUACGUAUGUAUAGUAAGUAUGAGUUGUUUGCGGUUCCCAAAAUAAAUUUUGUUAAUUUUGCGAAGACACGUUUCAUUUCAUUGCCCAUAGACGGAUUUAUACUCUAUAACAACCAUUUUAUUUAUAUAUAUGUCAGUGUGUAUUAUUGUUGUUAGCUAAAUUAAAGCAAUAAAUAUUAAUCUCUUCUUGCUUGUGGCAAGUGCUGAAAUGCGCAGAUAAAACGGAAUAUCUCAAUUUACAGUGACAUACCUACAGACACAGCGUCAAAUGUAGAAAAUAACUGAUUAAACGCCUGCCUCAAAACAAUGACAGGCGAGACCUAAAUCACGCUUGACCGCAAAAUGAAUCAGAAACAAAGGCAAAUGCCACAGCGUGUACUCGAUGGAGGCAAAAUAAAAAAGUAAUCUUCUUCUUCUGCUUCUUCAUUGUCUUAACUGAAAAGGAUUGCAUUUCCUUGCUGCGGCGUUGAAAAGAUAGAAUCUUCGAAAAUAAGAAGCUGCUAAUAGAAAAUGUACCAAGAAAAGGUAAUUACA